ensembl:lncRNA
GUCACCCCCCGGCAGGAGUCAGAGCCCCCAUCCGUGGUGUUGACUGCCUCAGGAGAGGACUGGAGCCCACCCCUGCUUGACUUCUUUUCUCCAGGACGAUGGCUAAAGACAGCAUAUCCCUGCGCUCCCUGAGCAAGACAUUAAACAGUCUGGCACCUGCUUCCCCUGCUGGCACCUGUCCGUGUGUUCCACUGCACAUAACAGCACCAUCACUGCUCGAUGGUGUCUGAUCAUCCAGGUGGGCAACAGCAGCAGCACCAAACGAGAGCCACGGCCGCUGCUUCUCAGCAAGGGAAGAGUGGAAAAGGGGUCUGAAACCUGUACAGUUAAAAGACAAGGUGAGAGGGUGCUCCCUUUCAGUGGAUUUUCAUGUAUGUAUGUCCAUAUGCACUACCUGUGCUGUGCAAGUGCUAUCAGCCAAGGAACCUGUGCUAACUUAGGUGCACGUGUAUAGCUGGUUUACAGGUAGGAAGAAUUUGGAGUGUUCUGUGUGAGUAUCCCUGCUGCUGAAAUGCAGUACUUCUGCUCAUGAGAUAAUGUUUCAGAUAUUGAUACUUGCUUUUAUAUUCAAAUUACAAAAGCACUUCAAAGAUCAGCCCUUUGCUGCAACAGCAGUACUGCUGUAACAGAGACAAUCUCUUCUUCGAAUGUGAAAAUCACCAUCAGACAACAACAACUCCACCACCUCUGUGUUCCAGGUUGCUAGUGUUAUGCCAUGCCAACCAACCUAUGCUAGGGAGAAACUAAAUGUAUGUAUUAUCCAAACAUCUUCAAGCAGAGAACCUGAAUUCAUUUAGGUCCACGUGGUGUGGACAAGGCUGCGGGGUACAAAUCUAGCCACACCACCUGAAAGAUGCUGUGUGUAAUUUAUCCUACUUGUUAAAAAGGAAAACAAUAAGUUACUAGAGGUGAAAUAGGGCCUUAAGAAGCAAGAGAUAAAGAUGUUGAUACAAGGUUCAGCACAGGAAGGCUGCAAUUUAAGAUCCAGUUCCCUAAACGUGAGGACGAUGCAAUGAUAACAGUAACAGAAAAAGUGGAAGGAGCUGUGGAUGAAGAAGGGCCAAAGAAAAAAUAAAGAGUUUUGUUUGUAAUAAAAUGUGGCAAUUACUUGAUGAAGCCUGAAGUUCUGCCAGGAAAACACAGAAAAAUCACACAAAUCAAUGGGAGCAGCUGAUAUUCUAAUAAAUCACUACUAAAGUACAUGGUGCCCCGUGAUUUGUUCCAUGUCGAGGGAGGAAUUCUGAAUGAUGGGUAUUUCCAUAGCCUUGAGGUUCCCAGGAGUCGAAAGAACAGACACUGACAUAACACAGUGAUCUGAGGCAAACUUACAGAACGUUAUCUUCACAAAAGCCACCACCAGGAUGAAAGAAGCCCAGGAAGUCCCACUCCUGGAGUAAAACAAAGAAUGGAAAACAAGCACAAAGCAUUUCAUUCCCCGUUCCUUUUCAGUAGGCAUGGUAAGUUCUCAACUAAGCAGUUGUUUUUUGCUGCAAAGGCUGUAUGAAGGAAGCUCAAACACCAAAAAAAAACACGCCAUAUUUAGGAUUUUAAUGUAAGAGAGCGCAAAGAUAUAGUUUGUUAAUAAGGAAAACUACAGCGGAUAUCAAGCUAUGAAAAAGCAGUGAAUAAAUACCAGCUACAGAACACAGCAGUGCUGUUAUUGCUGUUUCAUUAACGUCCUCCCGUUGUGCAUUUGUUCUGCAGGAGAACCACCAUACAAAAGGGAAAACCAAAGCAGGAAAAGCCAGCAGAGAACAAAAGCCACUGAGGGCAGCUUGGUUUAUUAUUUGCAUAAUUUGUUAUCUGGGGAAGAACGAGAAGUUCUGUUCGAUGUCAAAUGAAAAGGGUUGAGGAGGUCAGGACAGCGCAAGUAAAA